GCCAACGUCCAUACCACGUUGAAAACACCGGUUCUCGUCCGAUCACCGAAGUCAAGCAACGUCGGGCGUAGUCAGUACUUGGAUGGGUGACCGCCUGGGAACACUACGUGAUGUUGGCUUUUU
rnacentral:rRNA from 1 species